rnacentral:tRNA from 1 species
GUUACUAGUAGCUAUUAGCAUUGAUUUUGUAAAUCAAAGAAGGAUUAAUAAUCCCGGUAGCU